UACGUAGGGACCAAGCGUUGUUCGGAUUUACUGGGCGUAAAGGGCGCGUAGGCGGCGUGACAAGUCACUUGUGAAAUCUCCGGGCUUAACUCGGAACGGCCAAGUGAUACUGUCGUGCUAGAGUGCAGAAGGGGCAAUCGGAAUUCUUGGUGUAGCGGUGAAAUGCGUAGAUAUGGGGAGGAACACCGGUGGCGAAGGCGGCCACCUGGACGGUAACUGACGCUGAGACGCGAAAGCGUGGGGAGCAAACAGG
rnacentral:rRNA from 1 species